rnacentral:rRNA from 1 species
CCCUUAGAUGUUCUGGGCUGCACGCGUGCUACACUGAUAUUGCCAAUAUGUCAUUCUUAUCCGAAAUGGAUUGGGUAAUCAAGUAAUGAAAUUUCAUGCUUGGAAUCGGUAAUUGCAAUUUUAUCGUGAACGAGGAAUUCCUAGUAAGCACUAGUCAUCAGCUAAUGUUAAUUAUGUCCCUGCCCUUUGUACACACCGCCCGUCGCUACUACUGAUUGGGUGUUCAAGUGAGAUGCUUAGACCCUUGUUGCAUGGUUCAUUAUUGUGCUCCGAAAGGAAAAAGUUUCAAGCUUGAGUGUCUAGAGGAAGUAAAAGUCGUAACA